rnacentral:rRNA from 1 species
UACGUAGGGGGCAAGCGUUGUCCGGAUUUAUUGGGCGUAAAGCGCUCGCAGGCGGCUCGAUGCGUCGUGCGUGAAACACCCCGGCUCAACUGGGGAGGGUCGUGCGAUACGGUCGGGCUGGAGGCCAGUAGGGGGAUGCGGAAUUUCCGGUGUAGCGGUGAAAUGCGUAGAUAUCGGAAGGAACACCAGUGGCGAAAGCGGCUUCCUGGUCCAGCACCGGACGUUCAGGCACGAAAGCGUGGGGAGCAAACAGG